rnacentral:lncRNA from 1 species
UUCGUACAAACCAUCAAUUCAACCAAUGACUCAAAUUAUCUAUGAUUACCUGAGAUGUAUUAAAAGCAUUUGAAUAAUCGACAUGUCGUUCAUUCACUCCACAUUCUUCUUGAUUAUCAUAAUCAUAAUCCAUAUGAACUUCUUGUGACAUCGCAAAGUCAUACCUCCAUUGAUCUUCGUCCAUCUUAAGGACAUAUGCAUCAUACACAAGUACAUUCAAAUUAUC